rnacentral:misc_RNA from 1 species
GUUUGCCUUCCAGAAUUCUAUUGUAAUUCAUAUCACUUAUCAUCUAGGCUGCGAUUGUGAUGUGCUGCAGAAUCCUCUUUGCUCCUUUUUCAGCAUGGCACCAAUUAACUUGAGAGUUGAGAGUUAGCAGCUUGAAGCAUUUCCACAACUAGAGUCUUCACAUCCUUUCUCUCUUCUGCACGUCUAGGAAAAGGAAUGCGAAGCUUGUAAGUA